UACGUAGGCAGCAAGCGUUGUUCGGAGUUACUGGGCGUAAAGGGUGCGUAGGCGGCUUUUUAAGUUUGGUGUGAAAUCUCCCGGCUCAACUGGGAGGGUGCGCCGAAUACUGAGAGGCUAGAGUGUGGGAGAGGAAAAGUGGAAUUCCUGGUGUAGCGGUGAAAUGCGUAGAUAUCAGGAGGAACACCGGUGGUGUAAACGGCUUUCUGGACCAUAACUGACGCUGAUGCACGAAAGCGUGGGUAGCAAACAGG
rnacentral:rRNA from 1 species